rnacentral:rRNA from 1 species
ACUCCUACGGGAGGCAGCAGUGGGGAAUAUUGCACAAUGGGGGAAACCCUGAUGCAGCCAUGCCGCGUGUGUGAAGAAGGCCUUCGGGUUGUAAAGCACUUUCAGUAGGGAGGAAGGUAGUGUAGUUAACACCUGCAUUUAAUUUUUGGAACCGUUUACCUACAGAAGAAGCACCGGCUAACUCCGUGCCAGCAGCCGCGGUAAUACGGAGGGUGCGAGCGUUAAUCGGAAUUACUGGGCGUAAAGCGCAUGCAGGCGGCCUGUUAAGUCAGAUGUGAAAGCCCGGGGCUUAACCUCGGAAUUGCAUUUGAAACUGGCAGGCUAGAGUCUUGUAGAGGGGGGUAGAAUUUGCA